AGGAGAGAUGGUUGGCAUCUCCCCUGAUAGGGUCGGGAUUGGGCAUUUGUUCAUCUUUUGUAAACACAUCCGUGUGUUAUUAAGGCUAUCUGUCUCGGCAGAUCUCCAACACAAAUUAAUCC